rnacentral:rRNA from 1 species
AUGUUUAUAGAUCACUACAUGUUCCGUUGGAACAUUGUGAGGUCCUUUUUCCAGUUUGCUACUAAAUUCUCAAAAAAGAAACGUUCUUAUGCAUCACCAUCAUGUGGAACCACGAUACCUGAACCAAUGAACUCAGUGAACAUUUAUUAUAUUUAUUAUGGAUCAUUACAUGUUCUGCUGGAACAAGGUCAGAUUGGAGUAGUCUAUUUUGGCUACUUGGAAGAUGGAACCCCAGUUGCAGUCAAAACAUGCUUAGAAUCAUCAUCUCAUGGGGUUAAUGAGUUCUUGGCAGAGGCUCUACAUCUAAUAAGAGUUCAUCACAGGAACUUGGUCAAUCUGGUUAGCCACUACAAGGAUGGACACCACUCAACUCUUGUCUACGAGUAUAAAUUGCUAAUUUGCAUUGCUCUUUCGUGCAACAAGUGCGUUGAUACUUACAAACAACAAGGAGCACCGGAAGCGAGGGAGGGCAUGGCUGCACUGGAGGUUGUCCCAAGGCGAGGGCAGGGCAGAGACAUGCAACAAUGA